AAAACGAGUGGUAAAGCUGUUGCAAUACCCAUAAGAGGUGCCAUCAAGUGUACAAUGGCAAAUCGGUCCAAGCCCCAGAGACAUGUCCAUUCUCACAAACAUAGGCUCGAACAACUGGCUCACCAUCGUCAUGGUACCCGAAAACCCUCCUCAAACAAAACGCAGAGUGCAAAUCCCAGGUCUCCUUGCACCCACAGAAGGCACAUUUAAGAUCAAUCUUGCUCCUAUACCCAUCAUUGAUCGUCCUCCAGACCCUUGACCGCUUAAAAUUCUUGAAAAUCCCCCUGAAAAGCAUGUAAUUGCGUUUUUCUUCGAUAUGAAUGCAGCCAGGCCAAUCACAAAUGUACAAGCAAUCCCCUCGAAAACGGCUCGCCAAUAACUUAUU
rnacentral:misc_RNA from 1 species